rnacentral:tRNA from 1 species
GGUUGUAGCUCAGUGGUAGAGCACUUGUCUAGCACAUGUGAGGCACUGGGUUCAAUCCUCAGCACCA